GAACCCAGAGAUCCGUGUGAAAGUUCGAUUCAUUUGUCAGAUACUCAGAAGACACCAGAUACUAGUNUGCGGUAGCGUUCGCGAUGGUUGUGAGAAGUUNUNCUANUUUCCGUAGGGGGACCUGCGGAGGGAUCAUUACAGAGAAUCUUCUCACAACCAUCGCGAACGCUACCGCAAACUAGUAUCUGGUGUCUUCUGAGUAUCUGACAAAUGAAUCAAAACUUUCAACAACGGAUCUCUUGGUUCUGGCAUCGAUGAAGAACGCAGCGAAAUGCGAUAAGUAAUGUGAAUUGCAGAAUUCAGUGAAUCAUCGAAUCUUUGAACGCACAUUGCGCCCGCCAGUAUUCUGGCGGGCAUGCCUGUCCGAGCGUCAUUUCAACCAUCGGGCCCCCGGGCUCGUGUUGGGGCCCUGCGGCUGCCCGCAGGCCCCGAAAAGCAGUGGCGGGCUCGCUAGUCACACCGAGCGCAGUAAACAAGCUCGCUCAGGGCGUGCGGCGGGCUCUCCUUAGGAACCACAAGGUUGACCUCGGAUCAGGUAGGAAUACCCGCUGAACUUAAGCAUAU
rnacentral:rRNA from 1 species